GGCGAGAUGGCCGAGUGGUCUAAGGCGCUGGUUUUAGGCACCAGUCUCUUCGGGGGCGUGGGUUCGAAUCCCACUCUCGUCA
rnacentral:tRNA from 1 species